rnacentral:rRNA from 1 species
CCACACCUGUUCCCAUGCCGAACACAGCCGUUAAGCUCUCCAGCGCCGAUGGUAGUUGGACAUACGUCCUGCCAGAGUAGGACGCUGCCAGGC